GCCAACGUGGCAGAGCGGCUAUGCGUUCGCCUGCAGAGCGAAUAUAUUUCGGUUCGAAUCCGGACGUUGGCU
rnacentral:tRNA from 2 species